rnacentral:tRNA from 1 species
GCGCCCGUAGCUCAGUUGGAUAGAGUAUCGGACUCCGACUCCGAAGGCCACAGGUUCGAAUCCUGCCGGGCGCACCA